rnacentral:other from 1 species
AGUUCCCUGGGUUGUUUGCCAGUCGACAUGUCCUCGACCCUUAAUGCGAAACCCAGGAGGUCUUUUUUCCAGGCCAUGUGCAUGUCCGAUUUUUCGGAAAGCCUGAGGUCAGUCAGAGACCACCGCCUUGAACCGCUGGGUUCAAGGGCCUGUGAGAACAGCGGCAAUUUGGGGAACUG